AUGUUGAAGAACGAAAAUCCAGAGAGUAACUUCCAGUCACUGAUGCGUAAUGUUGAAGAAGAUGAAGAUGUGUUGCGAAAGUGGGUUCCGAUUGAAGAAGAUGGUGAAGUAGAGGGCUGCCAUGGUAAAUUUGUUGAAGGAAGCGUGAAGAAGCUUAGGCAUAAUGCAAGCAAGGUUGAAGUGAGAAAAAAUAAAAGUAGGAUGGAAGAUUAG